ACGGGGUGCAGCAGGCGCGAAACCUUACACUGCACGCAAGUGCGAUAAGGGGACCCCAAGUGCGAGGGCAUAUAGUCCUCGCUUUUCACGACUGUAAGGCGGUUCGUGGAAUAAGAGCUGGGCAAGACCGGUGCCAGCCGCCGCGGUAAUACCGGCAGCUCAAGUGAUGACCGAUAUUAUUGGGCCUAAAGCGUCCGUAGCCGGCCACGAAGGUUCAUCGGGAAAUCCGCCAGCUCAACUGGCGGGCGUCCGGUGAAAACCACGUGGCUUGGGACCGGAAGGCUCGAGGGGUACGUCCGGGGUAGGAGUGAAAUCCCGUAAUCCUGGACGGACCACCGAUGGCGAAAGCACCUCGAGAAGACGGAUCCGACGGUGAGGGACGAAAGCUAGGGUCUCGAACCGGAUUAGAUACCCGGGUAGUCCUAGCUGUAAACGAUGCUCGCUAGGUGUGACACAGGCUACGAGCCUGUGUUGUGCCGUAGGGAAGCCGAGAAGCGAGCCGCCUGGGAANACUCCGCAAGAGAUA
rnacentral:rRNA from 1 species